rnacentral:pre_miRNA from 1 species
AAGAUAAUCCCUCCAUUUCGAAUUACUUGUUGCAGGUAUGGAUGUAUCUAGAUGUAUUUUAGUUCUAGAUACAUUCAUUCCUAUGACGAGUAAUUUGGAACGGAGGGAGUAUAAG